rnacentral:tRNA from 1 species
GCCUUGUUAGCGCAGUAGGUAUCGUGUCAGUCUCAUAAUCUGAAGGUUGUGAGUUAAAUCCUCACACAGCGCA